rnacentral:rRNA from 1 species
AUGGAGCUCUUUAAUGCUCGUUCUGAUCACUGGGCCACUCUGACACGGUUUGCACCUGCCGUGCAGGCUAGGUAUAUGGACAUGAGGGACUUGUACCCCGUGCGGUCUGGUCUGCCAGAUUGUAUGGAAUGGCGUGAUGUAGGAGGCAUCACCCCUCCUCGUGGACCCCGUCUGCCAGCGUUUGUUGGACCAAGGCCACACCCGAGUCCUUAUGGACCGCAAGCUCCACAGGACCGACUGUUUCCAGAUGAUCAUGUUCAGCUUCCAGGACAUGGCGGUGAUUUCUAUGAAGAUUACUACAGAGACGUCUGA